UACAUCGGGAUCGUGAGCAACUUGUGCGAAACGAUGACGCAGAAAUGGUAGCACUUGCAGCAAAUAAUAGCACGUUGUAUCGCGUCACGUCGGCCCGAGGAGAGUGCAGACCAACUGCAGACUGCGGACGGGAACGCAACAAGUACGUGGCAAUCCACAUUCGUAUCCGUCUCCUGCUGAGAGAAAAUUUAACGAUAGAACCGAACAGGCAAUAAUACCGCUUUUAAAACCACGCUAAGUAAAACUAGAACGUCCCUUGCUCCACAGAUUAAGGAUCUUUCUCCGAAGAUUGCUGGCUGAAAUAAUGGCUUGCGCCAACUAUUUGAUAUUUUAAUUCACGCUUCAGGGAACAUUACCUAAAUUGAAGUUGUUAUCCGAUAUAUCUAUCGUUUAAUGUUAGAUAUAACAAAAUCAUGACUGUUAAAGUGCAUUAUCUCAAUUAAAGUUAAUAAUCAUGAAACUAGAAAAGAAGACUAGCAACUUGAUACAAGUACUGUGAACUACCGUUAUUUUACCCGACUCCCGUCUUCAAAGAAUGAUGUAUUUAAAUAUUAACAUCGAAGACAGGCGACAAGCGACAGGCGACUGGUGACAGGCGACAGAUAACAGGAAACUGGUAACAAGCAACAGGCAACGCUCAAGUUUCCAGUAACGUCCGCGCUUACAUCCGUGCCGAUGAAUGAUUCAAGCAGGCAAAGCCGGCCUGCUUUCUCUCGCUAUAUUUACGAAAUGUAUUUGAGCAAAAGAUUCGUGUCUCUCCGCUAGUACAUUGCUGCGUUACCUUACCUCUUGUGUAAUACGUAACUUCCGUUUACAGAACUAGAAAUUUCUCAUAUUGAAACUACCAUUACACUUUGGUAAGCAAUUUCUCGUUUAGUUUUUUUAUAUUUUGUUUGAAAUAACACGAAGGAAACAGAAAUAUACAUAGAGCUAGACAGAGUUUGUUAGAAGAUAUUAGAGACGAUAAUAAAUAUAUUAUUUCUAAAUGAUCACACGUCGAAUAGCACUUUUUGUGUUGUUAUAGGUUGUUAAUAUAAUAAUGUCAAAUAUAAUAACAACUAUAGAAGCGUAAUAUGAUAUACUUCAUCAUUAUUGAUACAGUAUAUAAAUGAUUUUUCUUGUAUUUAACGGUAUUAUUCAUUAUUUAUUUAUUAUUUUUCUUUUUCUAUUCGAUAAUUUAUAAUUUUUAAAGGAGGAAUGUGUAUGAAAAUUGACAAGUUUGAUUUAACUUGCCGAUUGUUUCAAUUAAAUUGUAGCUACAUCGUGUUAAAAAAAAACAUUAUAAUAAAUUAAUUUACGCGUGAGAAAGCUUAAGCGUAUAGGGAUGUUUCAGAUUUUAAUGAAUAAAUUAAGUUUCUGUACAUUUAA